AUUGAACGCUGGCGGCAGGCCUAACACAUGCAAGUCGAGCGAGCGGCGGACGGGUGAGUAAUGUAUGGGGAUCUGCCCGAUAGAGGGGGAUAACUACUGGAAACGGUGGCUAAUCCCGCAUACCAUCGGUUGAACCCAUAUGGGAUUAGCUGGUAGGUGGGGUAAAGGCUCACCUGGGCGACGAUCUCUAGCUGGUCUGAGAGGAUGAUGAGCCACACUGGGACGGAGACACGGCCCAGACUCCUACGGGAGGAGGCAUUGGGGAAUAUUGCACAAUGGGCGCAAUCCUGAUGCAGCCAUGCCGCGUGUAUGAAGAGGGCCUUGGAGUUGUAAAGUACUUUCAGCGGGGAGGCGUUACCCGCAGAAGAAGCACCGGCUAACUCCGUGCCAGCAGCCGCGGUAAUUC
rnacentral:rRNA from 1 species